GAUGACGCUGGCGGCGUGCCUAAUACAUGCAAGUCGAACGCGAGCAGCAAUGCUCGAGUGGCGAACGGGUGAGUAAUACAUAAGUAACCUGCCCUAGACAGGGGGAUAACUGCUGGAAACGGCAGCUAAGACCGCAUAGGUAUGGACACUGCAUGGUGACCAUAUUAAAAGUGCCAAGGCACUGGUAGAGGAUGGACUUAUGGCGCAUUAGCUGGUUGGUGAGGUAACGGCUCACCAAGGCGACGAUGCGUAGCCGACCUGAGAGGGUGACCGGCCACACUGGGACUGAGACACGGCCCAG
rnacentral:rRNA from 1 species